GUUGCUAGAUGUAAAGGGUUG
rnacentral:siRNA from 1 species